CAAUAGCGUAUAUUAAAGUUGUUGCAGUUAAAAAGCUCGUAGUUGGAUUUCUGGUGGGAGCGAUCGGUCUGGCGCUUAGCGCGAGUACUUGCAUCGUCUCCGGCCAUCCUUGGGGAGAGUCUGUCUGGCAUUAAGUUGUCGGGCAGAGGAUCCUCAUCGUUUACUGUGAAAAAAUUAGAGUGUUCAAAGCAGGCUUAUGCCGUUGAAUAUAUUAGCAUGGAAUAAUAAGAUAGGACUUUGGAACUAUUUUGUUGGUUUGCGCACCAAAGUAAUGAUUAAUAGGGACAGUUGGGGGUAUUCGUAUUCCGUUGUCAGAGGUGAAAUUCUUGGAUUUACGGAAGACGAACUACUGCGAAAGCAUUUACCAAGGAUGUUUUCAUUAA
rnacentral:rRNA from 1 species